AUAUGUUUGUUUUCAUUGGUACACAACUAUGCACGUGUGUUUCAUAUGUUCUUAGAUAUCUGUUCUUCCAUCUCUUUGUGUCUCUCUCUACCCAGCAGUGGCAUUUGUCAGCUUCUGUUGACAAGUGGGAUUGGGGCUGGGGUGUGAGGCUGGGUUUCUGGUGAGAAUUUCUGAGGUUGGUUACAGGUGCUGAAACCAGGGGCCGGAGCCUGGCAGUAGGUGGGGUGUGGCCCUCACUGCGUUUCCUGUGGGAGCUGGGCCUCAGUCAGUCAUGUGGGCCAGUUCACCAGAGCAGGAAAGGGACAGAUCAGGAGGGCCAGCUCUGGAAACAGCGCCCGGCUGCCUCGUCUUCCAGAGGGCAGUGUUGAAACCACCUUCUCAGGAAAAUCCCUUCGUUCCUUGCUCUAGACUGAUGCGUGUUUCUAACUCUGCUCACCAGCUGGACAUGUGUCUUUGACGACACAGCAUGAAGUGGAAAUGGGAAGAUGGUCUGAAUCAGUCCUUGAAUCAGAUGACUGCGAUGAAACUGGAAGAGAGUCACAGAGGCUGAUGUCACUUACGCUGGGCAGGAGGGUGGGCCCAGAGACGAGGGAAGGCCAGCGGCGCAGGCCAAGGCCACCGGAGGGAGUCUUUCCCCAUCUGAUGAGUUGUCUGUAAUGGCCCUGUGGGGGGUCGUGUCAUAGCUGGACUAAGGACAGGACUUGCUCUGUGGACCAGGGAAUCGGAGACCCUGGUCUCGCCCUGGUUUUAAAAUUGAGCCCCUGUUCUCCAUUCAUCUAUCUACAGGUGGUUCUUCCCUCCAGAAGUCUAAGACGGGAGAGAAUUUAGUAUGAGCCCCUGGACUUUUCCUUAGCAGAGGCUCAGUCUGUACCAGGUGUAUGUGAUUUGCUUGUGUGUGCAAGAGAAAGCACAGCGUCGCGUGAAUCCUGAUGCUCACGAAUAGAACCGCCAGCUGAGGCUGACACUCCAGUGCCUCCCUGACAGUGUAUCGGGACCAGUCAUAGAGUCAGGAAGGACUUUAUAGAGAUUCAUAGAUUUUUCAGGUAGCCAAUCCUUAAACUCACAGAGCACACAGAUUGUCUAGAUCUGAAAACCUAAAGGCAGAUGUAUCAGUCAGAGCUCAUUGCAGGAAACGGAAACCAUUCUAGAAAUAUUAAGUGGAAAGAGUCUUAAUACAGAGAAUUUUGUCUUUACAAAAUGGUUGCAAAGGCUGAAGGAGCAGGUUCUCUGCUGGGCCGCUGGAAGGACUCCGAGAAGAAUACAGACCCGGCCCCUGGGAGAGCUGCUGCCUCUGAGACUUCCCGAGAGAGGGGCUGCUGCGGCUCCUGCUGCUCCUAGAGAACGCUGCCCAAGGCCCCAGUCCGAUCCCGGGAUCAGGAAGGCGCGAGCUGGGGAAUGGAGACUGUGAGGUUGCUGCUGGAAACCCCGCCUCUCUGCGACCUAAUUUGCAGCAGCGACCGUCAAGCUUUGCAGGAAGAGGGCAUCUGGCUCACGUCCGCCUUCUACAGGUGUCCUUUGGUGCAAGCUAAUUUGCAUCCAGAACCCUAGCUGCAAGGAGGCCUGGGAAAUGCCUCCCAAUUCUUGCAUCGGACAGAAGGAGAGGUCAAGUGGGCCAUUCGAGAGAGUCCGGCUCACAGGUCAAUGCCAGUGGGUGCUGGAUGGCUUAAGUGGAUUGAUGCAAUAUUGACUCUUCAGGAAAAGUUUGACUCAGAAACGUGUUACACGUUGGGUGGUAAGUUCUGGAAAGCAUCCAUUUCUCCCAAUUUCCACAUGUGAUACUAGAUGCUUCUGGUCUCAGCUCUGUGGUAUUUUGAUAUGUGGCCUUGAACAAGCCUCAGUUGCCCCAUUUGUAAAACAGUGAUGUGUGACAGGCCUGAAGGUGGCUUCCAGCUUCGGGCUAUUUCUCACGGUAUCAUUUGGCGCACACUUUGGGUCCUGAGCUGGGCAAAUCUUAUAAGCACUUCUAUGAACAGCCACUCUUUGUUCCUGGGGUUUCCAGACAUCGAGUGCACUUCCCUGGGGGCUUUUCUGAGAGCUCGUGAGGAUCAAAGAGAAUUAGGAGGAAGAAAAACUUGUGGAAAGCUUGGUAAAGCCCAAGCAAAAGUGGCUUGUUGCCCCAGCACCAAUGUCUGCUGUCGGAUGUGGGGCUUCGUAAUUUGCAAGGCCCUGUGCCAUUUGCUGUUCCCAGCAGUGGCCUCUUUGCGGAUGAGGAAACUAUGGCUUGGCCAGCUCUGUGACAUUAGGGACGAUGCUUCAGAGAGCACAUGACUGGUGGGGCAAGGGGGAGAACACAUGUCCCAGGGCUCUGCCAGCGAUCAGAAAGGGCACUGUUCCCUGGGGACUCCACCAGUCCCUAGCUGGGCUCUCCACAGAGAGGGGAAUCGAGGGUUGGGGAUGAGAUGAGACCCUCUUCUGCCUCUCUAUCCAUGGGCUCAGUGCUAUGCCAGUAAAUGUUUAACAACCGACCAAAAAAAAAAAAAAAAAAAAAAA